GUCCGCCGGCCGUCGCAGCGUUUGCGUGCCGUCGUUUCGCGCCAACUUUUGGACGGAGCCAGUCUGCGCUGUUUGUACGCGUUCGGCCGCCGUAAACCUCGUGAUCCCUAACCGUUACGCGUUUACCUACCUCGUCGGGCGACAUCGUUGUCGCCGCCGAAUCGCGCGUCGACCUUGUGCGUUACCAUGCUUAUCGCGGAUCGCCGAUGUUGUGCGAUCGACCGUGUGAGUUACCAUACUUAUCGCGGGUUGCCCGUGUUGUGCGCUGCAAGACGACUCGAACGGACCGGCACAACACACCGUAAUACCAGCCAAGGUCGUCAUCGCCGCCGCCACUGUCGGCACUCGGCUGGGCAAUAAUUACACUUAAAGAAGUCAAUAAUCUUAGGUCCUAUAGUCUCAAAUGCUUUCAAAAAAUUUGUUCUUUUGGCCAAUUCAUGGACUACUGUUGUUUUAUAUUUUGAUGUUGCGCGAAGUCCCUGCGAGGCUUUUGCAUUAAUUAUUGAGGAAUAUGCAAGAAUCCGCUUCCAGGAGGCUGUUAGUCCUGAUACAGCAAGAACUCUGCCCGUCACACCCAGGACCGUGGAAAGCUUAAUUUGCAUGGCCAACGAGAUGGCCAAAGAGCAUGCUAAAGCUCGCUUUUCAAAAAUUGUCGAGGCACGAGACGUCAAAACAGCUGUCGAACUUAUAAAUUGGUUUUUCGCCCUCACUGUUCAUCUGCAGCGCGAGUCACACCGAUUACGGAACAUUCCGUUCCCCCGCACCUGCAGUUCACUUCCCCGCCCUUAACCACCUCAAAUAUUGGUUUGCAGAGAACAGAAAAAAAUUCAAAAUUAUCACAGCAUCUAGCUCCACAUGAUAAGUACAAUCAUCCUAAAUAUCCCGUAAACAGUGUAACUCAGAAACAAAGAGAACCACCAUCUAAAUUAUUAAUGAUUUCGUCUCCCAGGCAUCGGCCAGGCCCUAGGAAUCGACACGUUGACCGCCGACCUCAGGAUUAUGACCAAUGCGCUGAUGAAUCGAUAAAAACCACUUAUUGGUUGUCAUUUGCUGUCCUGUGGAGUGUGGACUGUGGUUUAUAGUAACCUAAAACUAGCUCGUUUGGCGGUUCAUUAUCGUCUCUGAAAGCUCAUCAAUUAGGCUGCAAAGUGAUUUCAGAAGUUCUUAAAGUAGCUAAGGUCAAUGCAAAUGAAGUAUCUGAAGUUAUUCUUGGACAAGCCCUUAUGGAAAUUCAUCAGGAAUAAACGAUGGUGCUGCGGUAGUACUUCAAUGAAGAAUGCAAAAAACGAGGUUGUACUCCAUUGGCUAAAUUUUUAGCACAUGCUGAGUGUGGGGUUGAUCCAAAAAUAAUGGGUACUGGACCAAUACCUACAGUGUUGAAGACUAUUGAAAAAGCUGAUUGGACAAUGGAUAGUGUUGAUAUUUUUAAUUAAAUGAAUCGUUUGCUGCAGAAUUAAUUGCUGUAGUGUGUGAUUUAGGAUCAAAUUCAGAUAAAGUGAAUAUCAAUGGAAGAGCAAUUGCAUUGGGUCAUCCUAUUGGAGCAUCUGGUGCUCGAGUAUUGGUAACGCUGGUGCAUGUUUUGUUGAGAACUGGCAAAAACGAGGCAUUGUAUCCUUAUGUGUUGGCGGAUGUAUGGGUAUAGCUGUGGCCAUGGAGACAGUUAAAUCCUCAACACUUUAAUAUUCACUCUACAAGAGGACAUCAGAAAAUUUUAAGAAAAUUAUAAAACUAUUUAAACUUACUCUGAGGUUAUGGGCAGGAAAUAAUUAGGUUACUUUAGAUAUAAGGCCUAAUAUUUUAAUUAUUUUAAAUGUGGAUGUUAAACAUACUUUUUCAUUAUAAUUAAUAUUGUUUAAGUAACAGAU
rnacentral:lncRNA from 1 species